rnacentral:rRNA from 1 species
UGGGGAAUUUUGGACAAUGGGCGCAAGCCUGAUCCAGCCAUGCCGCGUGCAGGAUGAAGGCCUUCGGGUUGUAAACUGCUUUUGUACGGAACGAAAAGACUCCUUCUAAUAAAGGGGGUCCAUGACGGUACCGUAAGAAUAAGCACCGGCUAACUACGUGCCAGCAGCCGCGGUAAUACGUAGGGUGCGAGCGUUAAUCGGAAUUACUGGGCGUAAAGCGUGCGCAGGCGGUUAUAUAAGACAGGUGUGAAAUCCCCGGGCUCAACCUGGGACCUGCAUUUGUGACUGUAUAGCUAGAGUACGGUAGAGGGGGAUGGAAUUCCGCGUGUAGCAGUGAAAUGCGUAGAUAUGCGGAGGAAUACCGAUGGCGAAGGCAAUCCCCUGGGCCUGUACUGACGCUCAUGCACGAAAGCGUGGGGAGCAAACA